UGCAUCUUGGAAUAAGAUCUCAACUGCUAACAAAAUGACGGAGAAUUGAGCGGAGAGCACCACAGAGGAGCGGCCGUGAUCGACAACCUUCUUGGGCCAUUUGUGGCUAAGCCUUGCUCAUUGAUGAGCCAAAAACAGCAUCUGAAUAUCGACUUUCCCGCUCCUGUUAGCAUUAGCGUGGCACUUUGAAGCUCUCCGGAUUCUCAUGUUUGCGGCAGAGCUCGAUUUUCGCUUUGAGCUCGACAUAUCUUCCCCCUCCCGCUCUAAGCCCCUCGUGGCGGGCUGCCGUCAUUUAUUUCAGGCGCUUGCACCUGCCAACGGGCCUCAGUCCGGCAGAUGCGUCACAAGGAAAGCCUCGCCGCCGGCCGGUCGGCGAAAUCUGAGGAAACGAGCGACCAAGCAUGAUUCAUUCCGUUUUACAAUCAACUGAUGACGACGGGAACGGAUCCUUCCGGACGCAGCGAUUUCGACGGCCUUUCAUUCAUAAAAAGUGUCAGCGGGAGUUAUGGCGACCACUAAAUGUCCGCUUCCCGCCGCGCUGACAAAGGGAGUUAUAUAUAAAAUCAGCAAACACCCCGUAAAGCUCCCGCCUCGCCAUCCCAAACAAGGAGCCUUUGCUCGACAGAGCUCAGCCUGCGCAGCUAGCGCCGUUAGCGGCGUAGCUAAAUAAAGACGACGGACUGAAGCGGUAAGCCAGAGGAAAGAAAGCCGAGUGAGUGCUUGUUUGGGGACAAACGUUUGGAAAUGGAGGCAGCGAGGGCAAAGUUUCAAGUGCAGCAGCUGAAGAUUUGAGCUGCCUUCCAAACGGCAGAAUAAAGAGGAAUGUCGAAAACGGAAUCGGCCGAGCGAGGUGGGGGCGAGAUGCGCAUUCCGCGCACACUUGUCUGUCUGGCCAAACACGACUUGGACAGCGCAGUCGUCCUGCCGGGCGGGAGCGCGACUGCGGCUGGCCGCGUGUUAUUCCUUGUAAGGAGAUUUAGCAUGCGCCAGCCACGCUUUGCGUUUUGUGGCGGCAGAGUAAACAAUCCGGGAGGACGCAAAGUAUUUCACGCUGAGAUUUGAAGGUCAAACACAAUCCCAAUUUUCCUCUUGGGGGGUGGGGGUGAGCCGCGCUCCUCUUCUUCCCGCCUGAGGCAAUAAAUCAGCCAGCCGGGGGGAGCGAGGAGUUCGACGCGCUCAUCGGCUAAUGGAAGAGUCAGGCCCGGCCCGAGACCGCUGCAGACGCCUUCAAGCAGGUCAGGAGAGGCGUUGAUUCAUGGAUUCAAUGCCUUUUUGAAGGAGGCGCAGGAACUCUCACCCUUGGUUGAGGUCAUUUUCCGUGUUGUCAAGCCAGAGGCGCACGGCCACAGCGUUGCCUUCCCGACACUGCGUGAAGAUGUCGUCCAUUUUGGAACGCCCGACGUUAGCCCGAGCGGCACGACACUGCGUUGAAGCGAAGAGACGGAGCUUUCAUCCGUCCCUCACCGAAACCAGUGAGGGACACGGUCGCUGAGCCUCUUGGGGGGUGAGGAGGGCGCUCGCAGCAGCCUGAAAUAGGAACGAAGGGUGUUGGAAAUAGUUGGGGCGGGCUGUACGGCUUUCAAAGAAUAUUGCAAUUUUAAAUUUCACCCUUGAGAGGGCAAAGGACAUUUUCGACGUGAUUCAUCCCAAAUUGGAGAAAUUAGAGAAAUCCCGUACAUGCAUAUUGCACCAGGAUUGAAUGUCAUUUGUAUUUUCUGAUUGUUUUAGAAUUAAUAACAUAGCGUAUACAUGCAGUUUAAGUACCAAAGAACAAUAAGGAGAGAUUCUUCAAAAAGUGUCACUUUUGGAUUUCAUUUUUAAGUCAUUUACACUGUAAGCAAAAUGCAUUUUCAAUCACUUCGAUAAGAAAGUUUGACUGUUUAUUGGUCGUUUGUGAACAUUUGCCAAUGAAUUCAACCAAAUAUUUGCAAGCUGUUGCUUCCUCAAAUGGA